CAUUUUUACCCAAAUCUGCCCCAAAUCUGCCUUUUUUUUCCCCAAAAAUGGGGCAGUUUGGGACUCCCUACACCCUUUUUUUUGGGGUGUCCCCUUUUUUGGGGGAAGUUCCCCUUUUUUGGGGAAGUUCCCCUUUUUUUGGGGGGAAAUUCCCCCUUUUUGGGGAGUUUUGGGGGUGUGGGGGAGAGGAAUUUCUUUCUAUUGAAAUUUGAAAAAUACAAAAAUCCCAGGAAUUAACCCCAAAGCGUGGAGGAAUUUUGGGAUGGGAGGGAUUGGGGGGACAACCCUGAACCCCCCCCAAGUGCUGAGUGAGAAUGGGGGAAAAAACAAAGAAAAUGGGAAAAAAUCCAUCCCUGAUUGGUUUGGGGGGAAAAUGGGAAUUUUUGGGGGGGAAAACUGGGAAUUUUUGGGAGGAAAACGGGAAUUUUGGGGGGAAAUUCCUAUUUGUGUUUUUUUUAUAUUAUUUUAAUAAUUAUAAAAGAGAGAAAAACGAGGGGAAAAUCAUGGAAAAUCCAAGGAGGAAUCUGAUGAGGAAAAUGAGGAAUUCUGGAAUAUUCCAAAGCUCCAAAAUCCCCAAUUCCAACUGGGCUGCACCAAUGGGAUUUUUGCCUUUUCAUCGCCGUUUUUAAUGGAUACAAAAUCAAAACCAGGAGGAAAAACCCAUGGAAAACACAAGGAGAACCCAUCAGGAACCCCAAAAAGCUCCAAAUCCCAGAAUAUCCCACAUUUCCAACCCUCCCCAAAUCCAUCAGCGGGCUCCGCUCGGGCACCUCCGCGGUGAAACAAAAAAUCAGAAAAAAAACCCAACAACAACAAAAAAACUCCGGGAAAAACCCGGGAAAACAACAACAAAAAACAACCGGAGCUGGAUCCCUCAGGGAGCCGUGUGGAGCAUCAAGUUCCUGAGGAGUUUCUGGCGGCCCAGCUCGUAAUCCUCCUCGUCCACGUUGACCAGCAGCUUGAUGGCCUCGUGGCCCACGGCCUGUUUGAGCGAGUCCGUGAUGAAGACGCCCUUGAGGGCCUCCAGGAGGGAGCCGUUGAUGUAAUCCCGCCAGAAGGCGUCGAGGUAGGUGAGCUCCGAGAAUUUGAUGUCGCAGAUGAUGGAGCCCAAAUCCCGGGAUUUCAGGAUGGUGUUGGCCUGGUUGAAGCGCUCGAAUUGGCGCUCCAGCGGGUCCUGCUUGUUGGAGAAGACGUUGCCGUGCAGGGCGGAGUCGUGCUGGCAGUACUCGGCGCGCACGCGCAGGCGGAUGUCUGCCCGCGGGGAAAUCCGGGCUUUAGGGAGUUGGAAUUCCCCAAAUUCCAGGAGGUUGUGGGAUUUUGAGGGUCUCGACUGAUCCCGGGAUUCCCCCGAUCGCAACUCCCCAGCAGUGAGGCAGAGAUAACUCCAAUCCCUGCUUCCCCUCGAUCCCAGGGAUCCCCCGAUCCCAAGGAUCCCCCAAUCCCAGGGAUCCCCCAAUCCCUGGAUCUCCCCAAAUCCCAGUUCUCACUCCAAUCCCUGGAUCCCCUCGAUCCCAAGGAUCCCCCGAUCCCAAGGGUCCCCCAAUCCCAAGGAUCCCCCAAUCCCAGGGAUCCCCCAAUCCCUGGAUCUCCCCAAAUCCCAGUUCUCACUCCAAUCCCUGGUUCCCCCCA
ensembl:lncRNA